rnacentral:rRNA from 1 species
GUGAGGAAUAUUGGUCAAUGGGCGAGAGCCUGAACCAGCCAAGUCGCGUGAAGGAAGAAGGAUCUAUGGUUCGUAAACUUCUUUUGCAGGGGAAUAAAGUGCAGGACGUGUCCUGUUUUGUAUGUACCCUGAGAAUAAGGAUCGGCUAACUCCGUGCCAGCAGCCGCGGUAAUACGGAGGAUCCGAGCGUUAUCCGGAUUUAUUGGGUUUAAAGGGUGCGUAGGUGGUUUGAUAAGUCAGCGGUGAAAGUUUGCAGCUUAAUUGUAAAAAUGCCGUUGAAACUGUCGGACUUGAGUGUAAAUGAGGUAGGCGGAAUGCGUGGUGUAGCGAUGAAAUGCAUAGAUAUCACGCAGAACUCCGAUUGCGAAGGCAGCUUACUAAGCUACAACUGACACUGAAGCACGAAAGCGUGGGGAUCAAACAGGAUUAGAUACCCCGGUAGCCC